CCCACCUCGGCCUCCCAAAGUGCUGGGAUUACAGGCGUGAGCCACCGCACCCGGCACCUUUUGCUUUUUAACGAGUUAAUUAUCACUAAGCUCCUCUUUUGAGAUUUUCAGUAGUGAUAAUAUAAAAAUGGAAAGUACUAAGUUUACUAUAAUAUUCACUAUGCAUUAGCAUACAUUUAGAUGAUACUGAGAUAUUUUUGCUUUUAAUUUGCCACUUAUUACAAGUAAAUUAACUGAAUAACAAAACCACAAACUACUGAAGUUAAAAAGUAACUGGCUAUCAGUGAUUUGAGCAGAAGUGCUAUGCCAUCUAGUGUCAUGACAAGGCAUUGCUUUAUAAACUAGAGUAGGAAAAAAUCUGAGCAAUGUUCAUUUAUCAAUUUUACUGAGCUUUUUUACUCGGUCUCAUAUAGUAUAGAUGUACUGGUAAGGAAACAAUUUUUUUAUUAUGGAACUCAAAUCACUCAAGUAAGUUUAACUUAUCAAUAGACAAACUUUCUAAAUUCUAAAAAGUGUAAACUAAAAAUCACUAUAUUAAUUAUGCUUUUACAAUUAAUUAUUAUACAUGUCAAUAAAGCUACAACUAAUAACUAAGCUUUGCUUACCUACAUUUUACAACCACUAAAACCAGAAGUGGCAGGGUGCGGUGGCUCACACCUGUAAUCCCAGCACUUUGGGAGGCUGAAGCGGGCGGAUCACGAGGUCAGGAGAUCGAGACCACCCUGGCCAACAUGCUGAAACCCCAUCUCCACUAAAAAUACAAAAAUUAGCUGGGCGUGGUGGCGUGUGCCUGUAGUCCCAGCUACUUGGCAGGCUGAGGCAGGAGAAUCGCUUGAACCCGGGAGGCGGAGGUUGCAGUGAGCCGAGAUCACACCACUGCACUCCAGCCUGGGCGACAGAGCGAGACUCCAUCUCAAAAAAAAAAAAAAACCCGAAGGGCUGAUAAGCAGCAAGACCCAAUGAUGAGUUCUGAACCUUUCCCAGCCCUUCCUCUAAAGUAACUGGAAGACGUUAACCGGCAAUAAAAGGCCAAAGGGCAGAAUGGGGAAGCAAAAUAAAAAAGUCACUUGCUAAUCUAAAAUCUGGGUAAGAGUGUAGAGUUUCUGAUAUAUAUUUUAUGAAUGAAAAAGAAAGGCUAAAAAAUUAUGACAUAAUUGAUUUUAUAGGAAUCUGAAAAUCACUUCUAAAAAAUGGGUCUGUUAUUUGAUUUUGCCUGUAUUUGUUUUCCAAUAAAGGACCAUCAUGUGAUCAAAAAGACAGAAAUUAUCUAUGUGAAUAGCAGUGUUACCUGCCACAUAUUUGGAACUCCUUCUAACUUAACUCAAAAGCUAAGCUAGAAAAAGAUAAUUCUUUCUUGCUUGCUUGCCCUGGUGUAUAAUCCUGGUUUUUUCCAUAUAACUACAAAGAUGUGAGAGCACCAGCCUAUGGAAAUCUAGUUUGAGUAUCAACCCUAGUAUCUUUACUGCCAUUCGCCCUACAGAAGAAUAGCUAUAUCUCACUGUUGAGAAAUGGCUAUUCAUCAGGAGACCAAAUCCCAGUUUAAUAAGGCAUAAUUUCUAUUUAAAGGUCUGGAUUUGAAUGCCUACUACUCUGUCUCUUCUUUAGCUGCGUGAAUGAAUUUGGGUAAAGUCCCUAAUCUCAGAUUGUUUUAUCAUCUGUAAAACAGUAAUAAUGAGUCAUGUAGCACUUCUGUAUCAGGUUGCUCGGAGUAAUAAAUUAGAAAACUGUGUGAAAGUGCCUAUUUUAGAAUUUGGCAUUUUCUAGUUUGUGACCUUGGACAAGUUAUGUAAGCUAUCAUUUCCACAUUUCUCUAUCUUAUUUCACAAGGUGUUGUAAUAAAGAUUAUUUAAGCAAAUAUAUUUUUACUAAUUAUGAAAAGGAAUGGCCGGGCACGGUGGAUCACCUGAGGUCAGGAGUUCAAGACCAGCCUGACCAACAUGGUGAAACCCCACCUCUACAAAAACAAAAAAAACAAAAAAAACAAAACUAGCCCGGCGUGGUGGCAGGCGCCUGUAAUCCCAGCUACUUGGAGGCUGAGGCAGGAUAAUCGCUUGAACCUGGGAGGUGGAGGUUCGCAGUGAGCUGAGAUGGCGCCAUUGCACUCCAGCCUGGGCAACAAGAGCGAAAUGCUGUCUCAAAAAAAAAGAAAAAAAAAAAGAAAAAGAAGAAAAAAAAGAAAAUUAAGCCUUCAGUACUUUGUAGCUACAGUCACAAGAAACCAUGAAUUGAUUUGUGUUGUUCUAAUAAUGCAUCAUAAAUCUGACCACUGGAUGAGAUAUCAGAUAUUUUACUUUAAAGCCUGAAUAAUUUAUGAUCUUUCACUAAAAUACAGCAACUACUACUAGCUGAGCUAUCAGAGACUUCAUGUUAAAGCCAAAUAUGUAUGAUCUUUCUCAAAAGCAGAGCAGUAAGUAUCCAAAGACCAUCAAAUUAGUUUGUCAAUUCGCUAGAUUUAAUUUUCAUUCAUUAAAUAUCUCAUUCUUUUUAAGCCCAUCACGGGGAUCAAAAUAGACCACCAUCGGAUUCUGACUUUCCUUACCUG
rnacentral:lncRNA from 10 species